GACGAACGCUGGCGGCGUGCUUAACACAUGCAAGUCGAACGGAAAGGCCCUGCUUUUGUGGGGUGCUAGAGUGGCGAACGGGUGAGUAACACGUGAGUAACCUGCCCUUGACUUUGGGAUAACUUCAGGAAACUGGGGCUAAUACCGGAUAGGAGCUCCUGCUGCAUGGUGGGGGUUGGAAAGUUUCGGCGGUUGGGGAUGGACUCGCGGCUUAUCAGCUUGUUGGUGGGGUAGUGGCUUACCAAGGCUUUGACGGGUAGCCGGCCUGAGAGGUUGACCGGGCUCCUGGGGACUGCGAUAGGGCGCAGACGCCAACGGGAGGCAGCGGGGGGGAAUACUGCACAAUGGGGGGACGCGUGAUGCAGCAACGCCGCGUGCGGGAUGACGGCUUUCGGGUGGUAAACCGCUUUCGACUGUGCCGAAGAGUGAGUGACGGUACUGGGUAAGGAAGCCCCGGCUAACUACGUG
rnacentral:rRNA from 1 species